GGGGAUUUGGCUCAGUGGUAGAGCGCUUACCUAGGAAGCACAAGGUCCUGGGUUCGGUCCCCAGCCCCA
rfam:Rattus norvegicus chromosome 5, whole genome shotgun sequence.